GUCUUUUUGAUUUAUAUAAAAAGUUUAACCUGCCCAUUGAUAAAUUAAAAGGCUGCGGUAUUUUGACCGUACAAAGGUAGCAUAAUCAUUAGUUUUUUAAUUGAAAACUUGUAUGAAUGGUUGAAUGAGAUAUUAACUUUUUUAAUUAAAUUUUUUGAACUUUACUUUUUAAUUAAAAGGUUAAAAUAAAAUUAAAAGACGAGAAGACCCUAUAGAGUUUUAUAUUUAUUAUUAUAUAUUUAAUAAAGGAUAUUAAUUAUUAUAUUUUAUAAAGUAUUUUGUUGGGGUGAUAAUAAAAUUUAAUAAACUUUUAUUUUAAAUUAACAUUAAUAUAUGAAAAUUUGAUCCAUUAUUAAUGAUUAUAAAAUUAAAUUACCUUAGGGAUAACAGCGUAAUUUUUUUUUAAGUUCUUAUUAAUAAAAAAUUUUGCGACCUCGAUGUUGGAUUAAGGUUUAUUUUUAGGUGCAGAAGUUUAAAAUUUAAGUCUGUUCGACUUUUAAAUCCUU
rnacentral:rRNA from 1 species